AACUAUGGCCAAAACAAUGACAAAGUAAACGUCAUUGGAAUAUGUAGAGGAGACAUUAAUCCUCAAGACUGUCGCAAAUGCCUAAUAGGUUCCAGAUUCAAUCUCACACAAGCAUGUCCAAACAAAAAAGAAGCAAUUGGAUGGUACGAGGAUGAGAAAUGCAUGUUACGUUAUUCAGACCGUUCUAUAUUAGGCCUAAACGAAAUUGGGCCAGCUUAUACUAUGUGGAACUCGAACAACGCAACAAUGGCAGAUCAACUUAGUAUCUUAGUAACACAACUAUUAAAUGAUUUAAGAAGCAAGGCUAUAAAUGGUGACUCACAUAGUAAGUAUGUUGUUGGAACAUCGCCGGGUCCUAGUAAUAAUCAAUCACCUUCUCAACAAAGUAGUGGUGAAACAAUAUAUGGUCUUGUUCAGUGUACACCUGACUUGUCUGGUCCACAAUGUGAUGAUUGUUUGCUUCAAUCUAUUGCUGGAAUUUCAAGAUUUAGCAAUAGGAGUAGUGCUAGAAUGAUUAGACCAAGCUGUUAUUUGAGGUUUGCAACUUCAUAUCAAUUCUAUCAACCCAAACCAAAACUGGCUUCCCAACUCCCAUGAUCAACAACACUUUUCUCGAAGGUAAUUGUAAGGUGAGAGGAUCUCUCUUCAUAAACUUUUUUUCAGCUUUAUCUCUUUUGAAUAUGCAUGUGAUUUAAGUUAUUUCCAAUACACUUUUUAAUGCCAUGAUUUUUGGGUUUGGUCGGUCAUCCGGUAAUUUGGUGGGUGAUUCAAAUGAAUGAAUUUGGAUAAUAUAUUAUGUUUUUAUAUUUGGUUCAAGUCCUAUUCUUAGUAAGCAGAUUUGUAAAAUAUAAACGCCACUCUUUACUAAUUUUCCAUUUAAUUAAAUAUCUCACCGAUAUGAUUAGUUCUAUUCUUUUUUAUGCAGAUAAAAUAAACACAUUGAGAACUAUUGUUGAUACAGUUCUGUUGUUGCCGCUGAUUUUGUCAUUGCUUCUUUUAUAUAACUAGUAUGUGAACUCGUGCCAAGCACGGGCAAGAAUUUCUCCAUACUCGAAGGCGAAAUAUAUUGUGAUUUAUCAAGUGUCAGUUACGGUCUAACAUUGAAUAUAAGAGUUGAAGUUGAACAACAAAUAGGUGAAAAAACUCUUGCAUUUGUGUGGUUGCUCUUUGUACAAUGAGUUGACCCACACCAAUAUUGACGAUCACUUAGAAAGUCCUACGUUUGUAUCGUAACCCGUUUCAACUUUGUGGAGAAGUGACAUUGGUUAAUGAUGGUAUAUCACAGAUGCGGAGAGUCUCGUAUUUAAGGAAUAGAUGUUAAUGUGUCAAGUGUGAGUUAAAGUUUCACAUUGGCUGCAAGAGUAAUUGUUUAACAACAUAUAAGUGAUAUGACUCAUAUACAUAAUGCCUUAAGGUUUAGGGUGAAGAUGUAGUCUCAAUCUCACUUGUGUGGUAUAUGUUAGUAUAAUGUGAUGAUCAAAAUCAAUGUAGGAUUCACCAGAAGUCACAACAUUAUGAUGAACUGUUUUUUUAGUUUUUGGAUGUCAUUUGUUUGAUUUUAAUCUUAAAAUUUAGUCUUUAAAUGUCAUUAAUUAUCUUUUCUGCGAAUUUUUUCAUUCAACCUUUAUUAUUUCAAAUUCCUUUACAUUAUAUUUUGUGUUUGCUUUAGCGUAUUUGUAAUAAGUACAACUGCGUCAUUAAGAGAGUGUUGUAUAUGGUGCAACAAGUUUAUACUUGAGUGGGUAACAACAUCCAUUUUUAUUUGGUUCUUAAAUGGGUCUCACGUGUACACAUCAUUUGUUUAUAAUUUUUUAAUAAUAGUAUUUAAUAAACACUCAAUCACUCCAACUCAAAUCUCACACAAAGUUCUUAAAUGGAACCUAUUAAUCAACUAUCAAUAAUUUUAUAUCAUUAUAUUUCAAUUUUUUAAUAUUAAUAGAGUGUGAGUCCCGCUUAAAAGUGGGGGUCUUAAGUAAGACCCCGGGUCUUAUAAGACCCUGAAAAAGAUUUUCCCCAUUGGGGGUUCUUAAUAGGUACUGGGUCUUAAAUAGUUAAGACUCUCCCAAUGGAGAUGGUCUAAUAAUUUGAUGAGGUAUUUUCUCACUUAUAUAGUCAACUACAAACCAAGUAAAUUAACUAUUGUUCCUUCCUGGUUGGGUAUAACUAUCAUUGUUCCAUCAGAUAUUGGUUGUCACGCACAACAACUUUUUGGCGCGCAUGCUUUCAGGAAGGGCAUUCGCUCUUGUUUUCAGGUGGUGUGACUGACAUGUCUUUGGGUCAUUUGAAUGAGAUAAACUCUAGAAUUUUCAACAACAUCUCUUCUAAAGAUCAACUUGUCGAUAGUAUUAAGCUUCAUUCUUGGUGGUGGCUAAAGACACAUAAACUGGAUUUUGUUUUUUAUUUUCAUUAUUGACGGUAUAUGCCGUCUCUUUGUAUAUGUUAAACCAUUUUGUAAUUAUAGGAGGGUGUAUUGGAUUAAGAUUUUAAAAGACUUUUAUUAUAAAAAAAAAAAUAAAAAAAAAAAGUCUUGUGAUAUUCAAUCAAGACUUUUUGCAAGUUAAAAAAAGUCUUGUGGUAUUCAAUCAAGACUCUUUGUCAUUUAAAAAAGUCUUGUGGUAUUCAAAAUUAUUCAAACUUCUAAAGAUUGUUUAAUAAAUUGGAUUUUGUGAGAUUUUCUAGUUAAAUUUUAGCAUGAAAAAAUCUCACAUAAAUAAGAGUCCGUAUUGAGAAUAUUGUGAAAAAAAGUGUUAUAAUCAUUUCUCUAACUUUCUCGUAAAAAUAAAUAAAUAAUUAAAAGAGUUUGUAUUGAAAAUAUUGUGAAAGAGAAUGUGUUUAUAAUCAUUUCUUCUCAAUGAAUCAUUAAAAUUCAUAAAAUCUUUUGAAAUCUUAUAAAAUCCAUAAAAUCAUUUCAAAUUCUUUAAAAUCUUAUGAUCUAAAUCCAUUGAAAUCCAUUAAAAGCAUGCAAAGUCUUUUAAAAUCCAUAAGACUUUUUUAAACAAAAAUUGUCCUUUAAAAUCCUGGUCCAAUACACCCCCCGUAGUUUCUGUCUUUACUGUGUUUGUUACUUUGACAGUACACAGUUUCCUUUUAGGAACAUCUUGUGCUUAACUCGUUUGGUUUUGAUAUAUUUUGCAUUUAGCUUCUUCAAAAAUAAAAAUUAACUUGAUUUUGAAUUUUAAGAUAGAUGAGUGGUAUGGCCUUAACUCGUUUGGUACUUUCAUUCUUUUUUUUCAACAUUUGUUUAAACCUCUUCAGAAGUAUUAAGAUUUUUAUGUCUCUCAUGGAAGUUUAUGAGACUUCCAGCUCCAAUUCCAACCCUUUGAUUCUUCAAACACAAUAUCUACUUGCUAUAUAUCAUCGUCUUGUCUUUAGGAUCGUACAACUUAUAAGCUUUAUAUUCAUCAUGCAUGCUAAGAUGAACACACGAUGUUUUUUUGCAUCUAGCUUCCUUUUUCUGAAACAUCUUAGACAUGAACAUAUGUCAAACAUCCAAAAUUUCUAAAAUGAUGUAUAAAGGGUUUCCAACCACUGCAUGCUUCUUUAGGUGUGAUGUCUUUAAAUGAGGCCUAUUUCCCCGCUUCUGGCCAAAACUUCUUUGGUAUACAUUUCUUUCUGAUAGCAUGCUUCUUACGAUAUUCAUUAGAGCCAUAUUCUUUCUUUCUAGCACUCCUCCUCCUCCUCCUUCUUUUUCUUUGAUUAUGGAUUAGUGAUGAGUAAACAACUUUGAGAAUCAAUUGUAUCUAAAUUUUUGUUGUUUGAAAUCUUUAUAAUACAUAUCUAUUACACCCAAUAUUCAAAUUACGUUUCUAGUAAAUUAAUAAGCCAAAGUCAAGUGACAAUUAAUGUGGAUUUGUGAAAUACUCAAGUGUUGUAGUCGAAACAAAGUCAUUUGUACUACAAACACAAUUAUUCAAAAUAUGUUGUAACACAAACCAAGCAUAUAUACUCAUUGUUGUCAAAAUCCCAACAUAAAUCCUAAAAUUCAGGAUUUUGCAACUGACCAUAGUAAAAUCCCAAAAUAGGCAAAUCCAUCGUUUUUUUUUUUAACAAGCCAAAAUGGAAUUAUAUACGAAAUAGGGUAGUCCCAAACGCACAAGGUGUGCCUUAGAGACGCAAAUCCAUCGGUUUUGAUUGCAAUUUUACGAUUUCUUAUAAACUAAGUCAUUUAUGACUAUAUACCAUUUAUAACAUAUAUUUAGUAUUAUUUUUUGUGGUAAAAUCCAUCGAUUUUUAUUUCGAUUUUGUGAUUUCUUAUAUCAAUUCUACAAAAGUAGUUGAGUAAAAUCCUUCGAUUUUGGUUGUGAUUUUACGAUUGUCGAUUUUGCUCUUCUCUUUCAACCUAAAGAAAAUCCCGAUUUUGACAACCAUAUACUCGAAGAAGGCUUUCUUCGAAAAUCAUAUAAAUGCAGUUCGAAGAAAGACGUCCCUGAAGACAAUUGCAAAUUCAAAGUGUUCCAAACAUCAAAAUAAUUACUACCAUGUAAUAUAAAGAUUGCAAGAGUUUAAAUGGGUGACUAUACUUGGGAAGUUAUCAACUAAAUAAGUUAAAGGAUCCAUGAAAUAAUUUUGCCAAAAUUUGUCUCACUUAUACAGAAUAAUAUAAAAUCGGUUAAAACAAGCACAGUUGCACCAUCAAACUUUUGGUAGAAGAAUAUCCACUAAUCUCAAUUGCGACAUUCAAAAUACACGGAAAGACACAACUAUUGGUCAUCUGUCUGAACAUUGGUGAGAUAAGCUAUCCAUUAACUUGAAAUCGAUAAUGGGAAGAGCCAAAAAAUUAUUACCCUAAGCUAGUGGCCAAGAAAAUGGAUUUUCGAGGUGGAUCACUUUCAUUUCAAGUGGUGCACAGGCAAUCAAUUAAGGAUAUUAAAGGACAACUUGUGAUGGAACAAAUUCAUUUUUAUUGAUCUCAUGAGAAUACAUUUCUGUGCACAUAAUCAUGAUUUUUAUUUUAUUGAAAGCAUGUAAAAUUAUUAUUGAAAAUGAUUUAUUUUGUUUUAUUUGAAAUAAAAUUGUUUUUUAAGGGUGGCUCUAUGGUGCCAUAACCGCUAUAUUUUUGUAUUAAGUGAUUGUUUUAUACCUUUAAUUUUAUUUUUUAUCACCAAAAUCUUAUUUGUGUGUGAGACAUUGAGAAGUGAGACAGACCAACAUAGUGUCGUAAUCAUCGUUCACGUCUUUUAUGUUCGUGAUUUUGACGAGUUCUUAUGUUCUCCGAUUGUUAUGGACACACCAUUGCUACAACCAGCCUAUACAUAUUUUUUAUGUAUAAGAAAAUUAAUCUAAGGGCGAUCUUAUUUGUUCAUAAAGACAAUUGAUCUAGUUGAUGGAUGUUAAUUCAUGUGGUACGUAUUUGCAUUGACCUGCAUAUAUAUGAGCAUGAUGUUGGUUCACUCUUUUUCAACAAACUAAGUGAAACGGGUCAACUUGAGUUGUCAAGCUCAAAACUUCACCUCGCUCCAUUUUAAAUUACAGUUAAAUACGGCAGGCUAAUAGGCUUAAUCCGUCUGUUUUAUCAUCCUUUCCGUUAAACUCAAUUUUCAUUGGUAAUGAUUCACACUAUUAUUAAUUGGAUUAACUUUUUUUUACCACUACUAACUCAAUCCAGCUUGAAAAGUCUUUGUCAUUUCCACAACCUAAAAGAAACAUGAUUUGCGAUCUGCUUUUCGCAAUAGAUUCGUUGAUUUAAAUUGGUCCUUUAUGUUAGAAAAUGACUAACUUAAGAAAGUAAUUUGUAACAAAGCACUACACUUAAAGGGCUACUUUGAAAAAAAUUGUAACAUAAAAAAUAUAUUAAAGGAUUAAUUUGUUAUAAACAUCCAACUUAAAGGACAGCGUGAGGUAUUUAACCUUUAAAUUAAAAUGUUAUAAAAAAAUUGCAAAUUAUAUUAAACAUGGCCAAGAAUAGAAACUUCAUCUUUGCCUAUAAAAGCUCAUUCAUAUGUCUAAACCUUCAAUCAUCCGACUAAUUGUUUCCUUAAGUACAAUCAAUAUGUCUAUUCUCUCUUUAAGCCCACUUUCCUUUCUCUUUCUCAUAAUUAUCCUUUUCACAUCUAAAGCCAAAGCAGACAACAACGACCAAAAAUUCCACUACUUUUGCGACCAAAAUAACGAUAGAGGUAACUACAUAACCGGUAGUGCCUACGACAACAACCUCAAAUUCGCUAUCAUGCACCUCACUUACAACUCAAAAAUUGACUACGGUUUCUACAACACCAACUAUGGCCAAAACAAUGACACAGUAAACGCCAUUGGAAUAUGUAGAGGAGACAUUAAUCCUCAAGAUUGUCGCAAAUGCCUAAUUGGUUCCAAAUUCAAUCUAACACAAGCAUGUCCAAACAAAAAAG
rnacentral:lncRNA from 1 species